UACGAGGGGGGCGAGCGUUGUUCGGAAUUAUUGGGCGUAAAGGGUGCGUAGGCGGUUCCGCAAGUCCUGUGUGAAAUCUUCGGGCUCAACUCGAAGUCUGCACGGGAAACUGCGGGGCUUGAGUGUGGGAGAGGUGAGUGGAAUUCCCGGUGUAGCGGUGAAAUGCGUAGAUAUCCGGAGGAACACCAAAGGCGAAGGCAGUGUCCUGGGGAGUACCUGACGCUCAGGUGCGAAAGCCAGGGGAGCGAACGGG
rnacentral:rRNA from 1 species